UACGAAGGGUGCAAACGUUGCUCGGAAUUAUUGGGCGUAAAGCGCGCGUAGGCGGCUUGGCAAGUCGGGUGUGAAAUCCCUCGGCUCAACCAAGGAAGUGCAUCCGAAACUGCUGAGCUUGAGUACUUAAGAGGAUCGCGGAAUUCCCGGUGUAGAGGUGAAAUUCGUAGAUAUCGGGAGGAGCACCAGUGGCGAAGGCGGCGAUCUGGGAAGAUACUGACGCUGAGGUGCGAAAGCGUGGGGAGCAAACAGG
rnacentral:rRNA from 1 species